UGGAAGUAGCCAUAUCAACUCUAAGAGGCUAAUUAAUUGAUGAGUUCAUCUUAAUUAGCCUCUUAGAGUU